GGCCCGCACAAGCGGUGGAGUAUGUGGUUUAAUUCGACGCAACGCGCAGAACCUUACCCAGUCUUGACAUCCCUGGACCACUAUGGAGACAUAGCUUUUCGACCUAACGGAAGAAUCAGGUGACAGGUGCUGCAUGGCUGUCGUCAGCUCGUGUCGUGAGAUGUUCGGUUAAGUCCGGUAACGAGCGCAACCCCUGUCCUUAGUUGCCAAUUAUGGAACUCUAAGGAGACUCCCGGUGUUAAACCGGCGGAAGAUGGGGAUGACGUCAAGUCCUCAUGGCCCUUAUCGGCUGGGGCUACACACGUACUACAAUGGCAACUACAAAGAGCUGCGAAGUCGCGAGGCCAAGCUAAUCUCAAAAAAGUUGCCUCAGUUCGGAUUGGAGUCUGCAACUCGACUCCAUGAAGUUGGAAUCGCUAGUAAUCG
rnacentral:rRNA from 1 species